rnacentral:misc_RNA from 1 species
GAUGAAGAACGUAGCGAAAUGCGAUAAGUAGUGUGAAUUGCAGAAUUCAGUGAAUCAUCGAAUCUUUGAACGCACAUUGCGCCCGCCAGUAUUCUGGCGGGCAUGCCUGUUCGAGCGUCAUUUCAACCAUCAAGCCCCCGGCUUGUGUUGGGGACCUGCGGCUGCCGCAGGCCCUGAAAAACAGUGGCGGGCUCGCUGUCACACCGAGCGUAGUAGCAUACAUCUCGCUCUGGGCGUGCUGCGGGUUCCGGCCGUUAAACCACCUUCAUAACCCAAGGUUGACCUCGGAUCAGGUAGGAAGACCCGCUGAACUUAAGCAUAUCAAUAAGCGGAGGA